rnacentral:rRNA from 1 species
UCAAGUGACUAAGUGUAUGUGGUGGAUGCCUUGGCGAUCACAGGCGAUGAAGGACGUAGUAGCUUGCGAUAAGCUGCGGGGAGCCGGCAAACGGGCUUUGAUCCGCAGAUUUCCGAAUGGGGGAACCCACCGACGUAGGUCGGUAUCACGCACUGAAUACAUAGGUGCGUGAGGCGAACGGAGCGAACUGAAACAUCUAAGUAGCUCCAGGAAAAGAAAUCAACCGAGAUUGCGAAAGUAGCGGCGAGCGAAAUUGCAGCAGCCCAGUGUUCUGAUAGCACGAACGACAGCAGAAGGGUCUGGAAAGGCCCGCUAUAGAGGGUGAUAGCCCCGUAUGCGAAAUCGGACGUGUGGUACUAAGGAACCGAUAAGUAGGGCGGGACACGUGACAUCCUGUCUGAAGAUGGGGGGACCAUCCUCCAAGGCUAAAUACUCGUGAUCGACCGAUAGUGAACCAGUACUGUGAAGGAAAGGCGAAAAGAACCCCGGGAGGGGAGUGAAAUAGAACCUGAAACCGCAUACAUACAAACAGUAGGAGCCCCUGCAGUGGGGUGACUGCGUACCUUUUGCAUAAUGGGUCAGCGACUUACGUUUUGUGGCGAGCUUAACCGAGUAGGGGAGGCGUAGCGAAAGCGAGUUCGAAUAGAGCGAAGAGUCUCAAGGCGUAGACCCGAAACCAGAUGAGCUAUCCAUGGCCAGGUUGAAGGUGUGGUAACACACACUGGAGGACCGAACCGACUAGUGUUGCAAAAUUAGCGGAUGAGCUGUGGAUAGGGGUGAAAGGCUUAACAAAUCUGGAGAUAGCUGGUUCUCCCCGAAAACUAUUGAGGUAGUGCCUCGUGUAUUGCUCCAGGGGGUAGAGCACUGUUAUGGCUAGGGGGACAUGGCGUCUUACCAAACCAUGGCAAACUCCGAAUACUUGGAAGUAAGAGCACGGGAGACAGAGCACCGGGUGCUAACGUCCGGACUCAAGAGGGAAACAACCCAGACCGCCGUUUAAGGUCCCAAAUAUUGACUAAGUGGAAAACGAAGUGUGAAGGCUAAGACAGUCAGGAAGUUGGCUUAGAAGCAGCCAUCCUUCAAAGAAAGCGUAAUAGCUCACUGAUCGAGUCCUCAUGCGCGGAAGAUGUAACGGGGCUAAGUCAAUAACCGAAAGCGCGGAUUUGCAUGAAAAUGCAAGUGGUAGGGGAGCGUUCUGUAAGCCUGCGAAGGUGGUUCGAGAGGACUGCUGGAGGUAUCAGAAGUGCGAAUGCUGACAUGAGUAACGUUAAAGCGGGUGAAAAGCCCGCUCGCCGUAAGCCCAAGGUUUCCUGCUCUACGUUCAUCGGAGCAGGGUGAGUCGGCCCCUAAGGCCAGGCUGAGAAGCGUAGUCGAUGGGAAGCAGAUUAAUAUUUCUGCACCAUGUGCAAGUGCGAUGGGGGGACGGAGUGCGAAAGAUCAUCCGGGUGUUGGAUGUCCCGGUUUGCGAGUGUAGAAGGCCGACAGGCAAAUCCGUCGGCGGAUCUUCGAGACAAAGCAUCGAGGUUCUACGGAACCGAAGUGAUCGGAAGUGCUUCCAGGAAAAGCCUCUAAGCUUCAGCUUGCAUAUGACCGUACCGUAAACCGACACUGGUGGGCGAGUUGAAUAUACUCAGGCGCUUGAGAGAACUCGGGAGAAGGAACUCGGCAAAUUGACACCGUAACUUCGGGAUAAGGUGUGCCUUUGUAGCGUGAAGAGAGAAACACUCGGAGCGUGAAGAGGCCUCAGAGAAUCGGUGGCUGCAACUGUUUAUUAAAAACACAGCACUCUGCAAAGACGAAAGUCGACGUAUAGGGUGUGAUGCCUGCCCGGUGCUGGAAGAUUAAGUGAUGGGGUGAGAGCUCCUGAUCGAAGUCCCAGUAAACGGCGGCCGUAACUAUAACGGUCCUAAGGUAGCGAAAUUCCUUGUC